AGACCCACAGCUCUGUGGGAUCAGUCAUAGGCAUGAAGGUGCCAGGGGCUGCAAACUAUUUCUAGGAUCAGAGCCUUAACUUCUGACUCAGUAUUUACAUUGCAAAAUAUGACUGUCCUCUGAGGGUGAGCAUGUACCAGUUUCCUUUCCUCCAUCAUUUCCAGAUAAAUCAAUGGAGAUUCCUGUCAAAACAGUAUUUAUGUAUGUACGUAUAUGUAUGUAUGUAUUUAUUUAUUUAUUUGCUCCAAAGGUGAUUGCAUUCACUCCCAAGAACCCAAAUGAUAGACACAAUACUUAGCCUCAAAGAUUUUUGCAUGACAUUCCCAUUUCAUAACUGUAGUGGAAAUGCUAAGUCAGGGCUUGAACCAGCGAUUGAGCCCCUGGUGGGAAGGCAGGGCCAACCCAGUGGAGCUCAGCUGCAUGCAAUGUGCCUGAGUGACUGAAAAGGGUGGAGCCAGGAUCAACCCUUCCCCAGACAUCAUUUAAGGGUUGGCAGUGGAAGCAAGCAUGUCUUGUUGGUGAUCCUUGUGUGUUUGAGAUCUUCUGAAGUAGUAAUCCCACAGAUGCCUGAGGAAACGCAUUUGCCUACAUGAAAACAAAGCCAUUGUAGAAACUGUUCUGAUAUCCAUCAUUGAAGCUCUUUAUUGGCAGUGUAGCUGGAGUAACAACAUGGAAUCAAUGAUAUCAUCAAG